CGGCAGAUCUGCAACGUGGUGGCCUGCGAGGGGGCGGAGCGCACAGAGCGGCACGAGACCCUGGGGCAGUGGCGGAACCGCCUCGGCAACGCCGGGUUCGAGACCGUCCACCUGGGCUCCAAUGCCUACAAGCAGGCGAGCACGCUGCUGGCGCUCUUCGCAGGCGGCGACGGGUACAAGGUGGAGGAGAAGGAGGGCUGCCUGACGCUGGGGUGGCACACGCGCCCGCUGAUCGCCACCUCCGCAUGGCGCCUGGCCGCGCCGUGACCGCGAGUUUUGAACGCUGUAAGUACACAUCGUGAGCAUGGAGGACGACACAACCCCGGCGGCCGCCCCGGCUCUCCGGCGCACGCACGCACGCACGCUCUUGAAGAAGAAGAAGAAGCUAAAUGUCAUGUCAGUGAACGCUGAAUUGCAGCGGCCGGCCACGAUCGACCGUCCGGCGUGAAGAGACGGACGACGACGAACUCCGAGCCGACCAUCCCACCGGCAUGUAGUAAUGUAAUCCCUUCUUCGUCCCCAGUUCUCCACCGCCUCCAUGAUCACCCGUAAAACUCCCAAGCCCUACUACUACUACUACUACUACUACUACUACUAUCAUGUUUAAAUGUCUAUUAUUGCAAUGUGUAAUUCCUCCAAUCGCUCAUAUCAAAAUAAGCGCGGGCCGGACUUUGUUAGCUGCUCCAAUGAGAAUGAAAAUGAAUUUUGUACGCAACGCACGUCCGAAACUGAGCCGAGCUCUGUUCUGUUCUUGAUGUUCAUG
rnacentral:lncRNA from 1 species